CAGCCGCCGCGGGAAUACGAAGGGGACUAGCGUUGUUCGGAAUUACUGGGCGUAAAGCGCACGUAGGCGGAUAUUUAAGUCAGGGGUGAAAUCCCGCAGCUCAACUGCGGAACUGCCUUUGAUACUGGGUAUCUUGAGUAUGGAAGAGGUUAGUGGAAUUGCGAGUGUAGAGGUGAAAUUCGUAGAUAUUCGCAGGAACACCAGUGGCGAAGGCGGCUAACUGGUCCAUAACUGACGCUGAGGUGCGAAAGCGUGGGGAGCAAACAGGAUUAGAUACCCCCGUAGUCCCUGUCUCUUAUAC
rnacentral:rRNA from 1 species